UAACGGCUGAACCAGCAACUAGGAGGAACGAAUAGCUACAGCUAACUGUGUAUAUUUACACGGUAUCGGCACUGUUGAAUAAAGUUCUGGGUAAGAUUUUAUCAUGAAAUUUUUUGCCCAUGUGUCUUGACCAAAUUGUGUGCCAGCAGUCGCGGUAAUACACAAAAGACUAGUGUUAUCCAUCUUUAUUAGGUUUAAAAUGUACCUAGACGGCAAAUCAAGCUAAAGGCGGGACUAGUUUGCUAGAGUUUCUUAUGAGUGGGCUUUAAAGUACUAAUGGUGGAGAGAUAAAAUAUUGUCAUACCAUUCUUCGUAAUGAAGAAAGAAGGCACUGGUAACGGUGAAAGCAUCCCCCUAUGUGAUAACUGAC
rnacentral:rRNA from 1 species